rnacentral:tRNA from 1 species
GUUUGUAUAGUUUAAUUAAAACGAUAUAUUUUCAAUAUAUAAAAAAUAUUUAUUAUUUACAAAAG